UACGAAGGGUGCGAGCGUUAAUCGGAAUAACUGGGCGUAAAGCGCGCGUAGGUGGUUAAUCAAGUUGGAUGUGAAAUCCCCGGGCUCAACCUGGGAACUGCAUCCAAAACUGACUAACUAGAGUAUGGUAGAGGUUAGUGGAAUUUCCUGUGUAGCGGUGAAAUGCGUAGAUAUAGGAAGGAACACCAGUGGCGAAGGCGACUAACUGGACUGAUACUGACACUGAGGUGCGAAAGCGUGGGGAGCAAACAGG
rnacentral:rRNA from 1 species